rnacentral:sRNA from 1 species
CUGGGGUAAGUCGGUAGCCCUCAUCCAGAUUGCAGUUUAUACAGAACUCAAAGAUGACCAGCAGAGGGCGAUAGUAGGACUGAGAAGCCUCAGAGCAGCCCUUCAUCAGCCCAGAUGUCUGGAGGAGCCUGCAUCUGCCCAGAGUCGUCCUUCCCUCAAAACAUGCGUGUUUGGUUGUGGAGAGAAACUGUGAUUUUUGUAAACUUGAGGGUUGGCCAAGGGUAAGCUUGCACAGUCCCGAGUUGUAAGAGCAAACUGGAAGAGGAGGUCUCUCAUUGACCUGGAACACACCUAUUUGUCCAGGAUGGCUGAACAAGGAGACUCCUGUCGUUCUGGAGUUGAGAACCAGGAGCUAACAUCGAAGUGUCACAAGGAUUGAACUGCCCUUGCUGGCUUGUCUGUGGUGUCUUUGGAGAGCACCGGAUGGCAGCUGUUUAUUUGAACUUGGUGUUCGCUACUGGAUUGAACUGCUGAUAUCCUGACAACGAAGAUUGGAUUUGCGCCCAAAGAACUAUUUCUAAACAUGUCUACUUUCCCUAUGCCCUGAUAACUUUUCUUUUCCACUACCUUUGGUGGGUGGUGGGCUAGAGGGGAGGUUGAAUGUUUAUUAAAGUAGGCUGAGAAAAA